rnacentral:rRNA from 1 species
CCUACGGGUGGCAGCAGUGAGGAAUAUUGGUCAAUGGACGAGAGUCUGAACCAGCCAAGUAGCGUGAAGGAUGACUGCCCUAUGGGUUGUAAACUUCUUUUAUAUGGGAAUAAAACGUUCCACGUGUGGGAUUUUGUAUGUACCAUAUGAAUAAGGAUCGGCUAACUCCGUGCCAGCAGCCGCGGUAACACGGAGGAUCCGAGCGUUAUCCGGAUUUAUUGGGUUUAAAGGGAGCGUAGGUGGAUUGUUAAGUCAGUUGUGAAAGUUUGCGGCUCAACCGUAAAAUUCCAGUUGAAACUGGCAGUCUUGAGUACAGUAGAGGUGGGCGGAAUUCGUGGUGUAGCGGUGAAAUGCUUAGAUAUCACGAAGAACUCCGAUUGCGAAGGCAGUUCACUGGACUGCAACUGACACUGAGGCUCGAAAGUGUGGGUAUCAAACAGGAUUAGAUACCCUUGUAGUC